rnacentral:rRNA from 1 species
AAAUUGAAGAGUUUGAUCAUGGCUCAGAUUGAACGCUGGCGGCAGGCUUAACACAUGCAAGUCGAACGGUAACAGGAAGCAGCUUGCUGCUUUGCUGACGAGUGGCGGACGGGUGAGUAAUGUCUGGGAAACUGCCUGAUGGAGGGGGAUAACUACUGGAAACGGUGGCUAAUACCGCAUAACGUCGCAAGACCAAAGAGGGGGACCUUCGGGCCUCUUGCCAUCAGAUGUGCCCAGAUGG